UACGUAGGGGGCAAGCGUUGUCCGGAAUCAUUGGGCGUAAAGAGCGUGUAGGCGGCUCGGUAAGUCCGCUCUGAAAGCCCGGGGCUCAACCCCGGGAGGCGGGCGGAUACUGUCGGGCUAGAGUCCGGAAGAGGCGAGUGGAAUUCCUGGUGUAGCGGUGAAAUGCGCAGAUAUCAGGAGGAACACCGAUGGCGAAGGCAGGUCUCUGGGCCACUACUGACGCUGAGAAGCGAAAGCAUGGGGAGCGAACAGG
rnacentral:rRNA from 1 species